CAUGGCUCCCGGAAAAGCAUCUGCAGAGCUUGCCUGUCAGUCCUCUGGGGGCCCAGCAGAACAGAUCUCAUCUCUUUUCUGUAGUUUUUCUGAGGCCGGAAUAGCUCAGGAGUGUGGUGCUCCAAACCCAGAAUGUCAGAGCUGAAAAGAACCUCAAAGAAGCUUGGGGGCCUUGGGAUCCAGCCCCUUUCUGACUGAGGAUUCCUCCAAUGCCGCCGUGGACAAGCAGCCAUCUUUCAGUGGUGGGGAGCACCCCGAGGCAGCCUGGCCCCUCUGUCCAGCUGAAACUGCUGGUCUGCAGGACCCUGCCCUUGUUCCUGUCCCUCGUUCCACCCUCCAGGGCCACUCACAGCCAAGCUAGCCUUUGGCCCUCCCGUAGUCGUCAGGGGCUUUGCGAAAACCGCGUGCUAAUGGCUGGCUUGUUCACUGGUGAGGUGGCCCCUCUCUUCUGGUGCCAAAAAUCUGAAAGGGACACAUUUUUCUAGUUAAAAAUAGAUUGACUAUUUUUAUAAAAUAGCUGCGUGGCCUUGGGCAAGUCACUUCUUUUCUGUGAGCCUCAGUUUCCUCCUGUGUACGACAAACUGGUUGGACUAGUCCAACCCUGGGAUCAGUCCCAGCCCUGAAUCGGACUGUGGGUGGCACAGUCAGGAGUGGGGUGGGGAGGUGGGGAUGAGGGGAGAG